rnacentral:rRNA from 1 species
UACGUAGGUGGCAAGCGUUGUUCGGAAUUACUGGGCGUAAAGCGCGCGUAGGCGGCUUUGUAAGUUAGAGGUGAAAGCCCGGGGCUCAACUCCGGAAUUGCCUUUAAGACUGCAUCGCUAGAAUCCGGGAGAGGUGAGUGGAAUUCCGAGUGUAGAGGUGAAAUUCGUAGAUAUUCGGAAGAACACCAGUGGCGAAGGCGGCUCACUGGACCGGUAUUGACGCUGAGGUGCGAAAGCGUGGGGAGCAAACAGG